AUCGAAUACCAAAAAUAUAAGAAAAAAAUAAAAAGAUGGCAAACAACACAGUUUCUUGGCUUUUUCAAGAGAAAAGUGAACUUCUCGUUCUUCUUCCUAUAAAAUAAAGAAAGAGCAAAGAGAAGCGUAUUUGAUGACGGAGAGAGAGCAUGAACAUGAGGUGAGAAAUACAGUGUCAAAUGCUACUAUGAGCUAAGGCUGCAAAUAGGUCGGGUUAACCUGUGACCCGACCCAACCCGACUCAUUUUGGAGGACCCAUAGGGUCGGGUC
rnacentral:lncRNA from 1 species